AGGAUUUGAGAGCUAGCUUGAAGUUCUUUUCAAAGGCAUAAGGAUUGUUUUUGGAAGGUUUUUGAAGACUUAGCAAUUAUUAUUCAAAGUUAGGAGUUUGUAUUGGUGAUUUGGAUUUUAUAUAAUGUAAUUAGGGCUAGUAAUUUUGGCUAGUUCGUGUAAUUGGUGUAACAUCUAUAGUUGAAAAUUUGAUAUUAUUUGGAUUAUUGGAUGUGCUAAGUGUAUAAAAAAUUUUGUGAUAAUCUAAUGGCGUGGUUUAGAGAUAUUUGAAUUUUAGCACAAGAGGGUUUUGGAAGUUGGCAGCUUGAGGUUGGGUAGGAUUUCUAUGAUAUCUAAAGAUCUAUUAGUUGAAUCAAAGUGAAAUUUAGCAUGGUAUUGAAGGACUUGAAGAUCAAGCUGCACACCAAUUUUGAGACAAAGUUAAUGGUUGAAAAGGAA
rnacentral:lncRNA from 1 species